GCGGUGGCAUGCCACCUUCGGACCGCUGGAGGCCCGCUACUGUUACCACUGAGUUAGUUCUACUCAUUCAAUAUGCGCGAGGGUGGCGGCUUGCCACCCUCGGACCGCUGGAGGACCGCUAGACUCUACCCGUUUAAUAACGGAAAAUAACGGACGCCAGCAUCAAGACUCGAUCCAGACAUAGAAUGACUAGGUGACCAACAACAGUCUGUAGGCAUACACUGUAAGAAACGUAUGAAAAGGCCCACAAUUUUUAUAUGAAGGCAAAAAAAGGAGAGUCAUUGGAUACCAC